rnacentral:misc_RNA from 1 species
ACCAAAUUCCAGGGAAGCUGUUAUUUGUUUGCAAGUGAUCAAGCAAGUUGGCCAGAAGCCGAGGCAUUCUGCUUGAGUAUGAAUUCCAAUUUGGUCGAAAUUGGAAGCGAGUCAGAAAAUGCUUUUGUUGAGGGAGAAUUGAAAAUCAUUCAUGGUCAUGAUUCACAUUCGAGUCAUCAAAACGAGGUUUCUUACUGGUUGGGAGGAAAUGAUUUAGAAAUGGAAGGAACUUUCAAAUGGGUCAGAAGCGAUGCUCCUUUGGUCUUCACCGACUGGAAUCCAGGGCAACCAGACGACUUUUCCUCUGGAGAAGAUUGUAUAGAACUCCAGGGCGCAAUGGACUACCACUGGAACGACCUGUCAUGUAGCGCGAGGCAUCGAUUCAUUUGUGAAUCAUCAGCUUAUGGCCCGGAUAAUGGAGCGAUAUCCAGUGUGAUUGGAAAACGCUGAAAAUAAAAUCUCAUUAAUUUC